GAGGAGGAGAGAGGAGGAAGAGGAGAGGAGGAGUCACUCGCUGUGGGGCGCUCGCGCAGUUUGGACGGGAAGUCGGAGUGAAACGGGAGCGCGUGAGCCGCGGUCUCCUAAAAAACACUGAUUAAAAAUAUCUCCAUUUACACAGAGAGAGAGGGAGGGAGAGAGAGAGAGAGAGGGAGAGAGAGAGAUGGCGGCUCUGACCGGAGGAGAGAUGUGCGUCAAGUACUUAAUGUUCGCCUUCAAUUUCAUGUUCUGGCUGGCAGGCACAGGUGUGUUGGCUGUGGGUCUCUGGCUCAGAUUUGAUCCCAGAACUAAAAAUCUGGUUGAAGGUGACGACUCCCCAAGUGGCUUCUACACAGUGGUAUGUAUCCUCAUAGCUAUAGGAGGACUGAUGAUGCUGGUCGGGUUCCUCGGCUGCUGCGGCGCCAUUCAGGAGUCGGUGUGCAUGCUGGGAUUGUUUUUCUUCUUCCUACUGCUUAUCUUUGUUGUGGAAGUGGCUGUUGGAGUUUGGGGAUUUUCCAUCCAGAGCAAGUUUGUUGAUGAAGUCACUCAGUUCUACAAGGCAACUUACAAGAAAUACAAAGAGGACAAACAGGAAGCUCUGAGAGAGACGCUGCAUCUGAUCCAGUACGGGCUGAACUGCUGUGGACCCUUCAGCUCCGAGGACACAGAUGCUCUAGAGGAGACUUGUCCUAAACGUGAGGGACUGGACGUGCUCAUCACCAAGAGCUGCCCUGAUGCUAUUGAGAAAUUCUUCACCUCUAAACUUCACAUUAUUGGAGGCGUCGGAGUCGUAAUGGGAGUGAUCAUGCUCCUGGGCAUGAUCUUCAGCAUGCUGCUGCUGUGUGCCAUCAGGAAGAGUCAGGAGAUCGUCUGAGGUGCUUUAUGCGAAACGUGCCGUGUUUGUGUUGCAUGAUCUCCAUCCCGAAGCUCUCUCCGUCACCGCCGCUGUCACUGCACAGCUCAUCCUCUGAUUGGGUGCCAAUAAUUUUUAAGGGUACUGUAGGUCAGAAGAUGAAUGUGUGUGUGUGUGUGUGUGAGAGAGAGAUUGUGAUCAGGACCUCAGUCAGCAGAUCAGUAAUGAGGAAUCUCCAGGAAACACUAAUGAACUCAACUUCAUCACGACGAUAAUCACGACGACGACUCACACAUUAAUCUGAAGUUCCUGAUUCUCCAUUUUCCUGAAAAACUUUUAAAUUAUUCAGAAGCCUCACAGAUUAAUGCAACAUUUAUAUAUUUAUAUUUAAAAUCUAUUAAAAAGAUUUGACUUGAA